rnacentral:lncRNA from 1 species
GUCACUUUGAGGCCAGUCGGGUCACACACACUGAGACUCUGUCUCUAAAUAAAUAAACACCCAAACUCAAAACCCUCUGAGAACUAUCAAAUUAUCUUCAUUUUAUGAGAGAGAAAGUUGGGUUAGAGAUGGGACUUGAUGUGACCUCCCCAAGUUGAGCCCGUGUACAAAGUGGCAGUGUCUGGAUGUAACUCUAAAACCGCUUUCACCCUGUUCUCCACAGCUCAUCUUCUUCUGCCUUCUCUUCAUUCACCAGAACACUUUAAGUGGCAGACGUUCUCUUCAGGAGCAGAGGAGACACAGCCAGACUCUAGAAGAUGGUUCUUGUUUGCUGGGGAGGCAGACGACUCAAUGGACCUUGACAUUCAGCCUGACAAGCUCUUUACUGGGCAUGCACAGAUGGUUCAGCCGCUCCAUCUGAUGUAGAGAGAUCCUUGAGACACUGCUCCUACCCCAAAGUCCAGCAGAUUGGCAGCUCUUACUUCCGGAAAUGCAGGAGCAUCAACCUCGAUGUUGGUAGAGCUUACCUCUGUAUGCUGAGGGCAAAGGAUUUUUCUUUUGCCAUCCCAUUUCUCUAGCCACUCCAGGUCCACUUCUGUAGUACAACAUCUGGGGAUUGUCUUCAUGCCCACAGCUGCCAUCCACCAAGCAGGCUUCCCAAGGAGUUUCCUCAGCUUCUGCCAAGGCACAGUCAGCCAGCCCUGGGUGUUCCCCUGGACUCCUGUCGGAACCUUUUGUUGCUGUGUGUAGCGCUUGCACUCAUGGCAGACCCUGAGGGUGAAGGCCGUGUUUCAUGCCGUCAGCAGCACUGGCACAUUCCAUGUCACGUCCAUUACAGAGUGGAAUGACAGCAGCUGCCAUUUGCCGGGUCUGGCACAGCACCAAAUGCUUUAUGUCUAUGAUCUCACUUAAUCUCUACAUGAGGCAGAGGCCACCGAUGAGGAAAGAGAGCCCGAGAGAAGAGAAAUGAUGGGGCCAUGCUCCCAUAAAUGCUGGAGAUGUGGCUUUAAUUCUGGCUUCUCUACUUACUGGUUACAUCACAAUCCAUUUAGUAUCUUGGAGCCUUAGUUUUGUCAUCUGUGUAAUGAGUGUGACAAUCGAUAUUUC